rnacentral:rRNA from 1 species
GACGAACGCUGGCGGCGUGCUUAACACAUGCAAGUCGAACGGAAAGGCCCUGCUUGCAGGGUGCUCGAGUGGCGAACGGGUGAGUAACACGUGGGUGAUCUGCCCCUUACUUUGGGAUAAGCCUGGGAAACUGGGUCUAAUACUGGAUAGGACCAUGCUGUAGGUGGUGUGGUGGAAAGAUUAGUUUCGGUAAGGGAUGAGCUCGCGGCCUAUCAGCUUGUUGGUGGGGUAAUGGCCUACCAAGGCGUCGACGGGUAGCCGGCCUGAGAGGGUGGACGGCCACAUUGGGACUGAGAUACGGCCCAGAAUCCUACGGGAGGCAGCAGUGGGGAAUAGUGCACAAUGGGCGCAAGCCUGAUGCAGCGACGCCGCGUGGGGGAUGACGGCCUUCGGGUUGUAAACUCCUUUCAGCCAUGACGAAGCCCUUGUGGUGACGGUAGUGGUAGAAGAAGCACCGGCUAACUACGUG